GACAGAGGGUGCGAACGUUGUUCGGAAUUACUGGGCGUAAAGCGCAUGUAGGCGGCAGCGCAAGUCGGGCGUGAAAUCCCACGGCUCAACCGUGGAAGUGCACUCGAAACUGCGCAGCUAGAGUCCUGGAGAGGAAGGUGGAAUGCUUGGUGUAGAGGUGAAAUUCGUAGAUAUCAAGCGGAACACCGGUGGCGAAGGCGGCCUUCUGGACAGUGACUGACGCUGAGAUGCGAAAGCGUGGGGAGCGAACAGG
rnacentral:rRNA from 1 species